AUGUACAUUCCUAUAGCAUAGCGUUAAUGCAUUAGAUCCCAUUAUAACUCCAUAGUUAAGCGUUCUCAGGAUAGAGUAGUACUGGGAUGGGUGACCAUCGAGGAAGUCCUAGUGUUUUACAUG
rfam:Picea glauca, whole genome shotgun sequence.